GGUGUCAUCCCCUCAUGAUGCUCCAGUGUUUUUGGCUUGGUUUCAUGGACUUUGAGUUUUGGGUUCCUGUGGAUUUAGUUUAAAGAUGGAAAUAGCCAAAGCAGCAUGUGGCUGCUGGCAACAGUUCAAGUGCCUUUCACUGAACUACGUGUCAUACUGCAGGACUACACAGCCCAUCUGAGCAGACGGAGGAGAGAAGUGGUGAGGAAGAUCAGUAAAGAGACGGCAGACACGCUGCAGCUGAUUGAAUCAUGCUGGAGUGAAACCAAGUCUUCUGUGAUACAAGAUCAGAGGAGCCUGCACUGCAACAGGUCACUGGGUCGAGUAUAAAAAAAAUGGAGGAAGAGUGAGGAGGGGCAUGUGGGAAAGGAGCACCAUGAUAGUUGAACCUUGGCCUUCAUAUAUGGGACAUGACCUGACCACUAUGCCAUCGAGGACAAUAAAGCCUUCAAUACUUCUUGAAACAUUUACACAGGAGUGUCAUGAUAUCACGAGUCAAUUCACAGUGUUUUUGACCUUCUGGGACAGCAAGAGAACAGCACAGAAGAACUCACUUCUCACUGGUUUAGCUGAUCCUGUUCUCACCUCUGUUACUACCUCUGCAACGUUCAUAGUGAAGGCAAAACAUCACAGGGGCGUAAACAUCACAUCUUUAAAUUUCACUGUGAAUUGGGCUAUUUGCUGGCAUCAUUCAUAAGCUGAAUUGACACAUCAUACUAGACUAAAAGUAAAAUCUGCUAAAUGAUGAUGUAACACACUUAAAGCAUUAAUUUUACGUGGGCUGUUUCAGAAUAAACUUUAUUUUUAAAAAUCUCU